rnacentral:misc_RNA from 1 species
CGCACCUUGCGCCCCUUGGCAUUCCGAGGGGCACGCCUGUUUGAGUGUCGUGAACUCCUCCACUCCUCACCUUUUUCGAAGGGUUGUUGAGCUGGGAUUUGGGAGCUUGCGGGUCCCUGGCCGAUCCGCUCUCCUUGAAUGAAUUAGCGAAGCCCUUUGCGGCCUUGGUGUGAUAGUCAUCUACGCCUCGGCUUAGCGAACCUAAUGGGAGUCGCUUCCAACCGUCUCGCAAGGGACAACACAUACCAACUUGACCUCAAAUCAGGCGGGACUACCCGCUGAACUUAA